rnacentral:lncRNA from 1 species
GAAAAUAAAAAUAAUAUUGAAAAAUUGGAUCUACAGUUUUGUAAGCGCAUUUUUGGGGUGAGAUCCUCUACGCCAAAAUUUUAUGGUGUAUGGAGAACUUGGAAGAUUUCCACUUGAACUGCAGAUCAAGUUAAAAAUGGUAUGAUUUUGGCACAAGCUUGCAACAAACGAUAAAAAAAUAUCGGGUAAACUGUACAAGUUACUUUGGUACAUGCAUGAGCAUGAAGGUUAUAAUUUCAAAUGGUUUAACUAUGUAAAAUCUGUGUUUAAUGACUGUGGCUUUUAUGAAAUAUAUAAUAUUCCGGAGCAAGUUGAUUAUAAUUAUAUUAAAACUAAUGUGAGGCAGCGUCUCCAGGACUAGUUUAUUCAAAUAUGGUUCUCUGAUAUAAAUAACUCAUCAAGGGGGGAAUUUUAUUUACACUUUAAAGAAGAGUUUUGCUUAGAACCAUAUCUGUUAAAAUUAAGGCGGGGUCAUAGAGUUAAUAUAUGUAAAUUAUGGGUAUGUAAUACAGAGUUUCUCAUUGAAACAGGAAGAUGGAGAAAUGUACCACGAAAUGAGAGAAUUUGUCCACUUUGUAAAGCUGGUCUUGGGGAUGUGUACCACUAUAUAUAUGUAUAUGUACCAAUUAUGAAGUUAAAGAUUUAAGGGGGGAAGUUCAUACCUCCAUAUUAUUUAAAAUAUCCAAAUGUUAAAAAAGUACUGGGCA